GAUGAACGCUGGCGGCGUGCCUAAUACAUGCAAGUCGAGCGAACGGACGAGAAGCUUGCUUCUCUGAUGUUAUCGGCGGACGGGUGAGUAACACGUGGAUAACCUACCUAUAAGACUGGGAUCACUUCGGGAAACCGGCGCUAAUACCGUAUAAUAUUUUGAACCGCAUGGUUCAAAAGUGAAAGACGGUCUUGUUGUUACUUAUAGAUGCAUCCUGGCUGCAUUAGCUAGUUGGUAAGGUAACGGCUUACCAAGGCAACGAUGCAUAGCCGACCUGAGAGGGUGAUCGGCAAAACGGGAACUGAGACAGGGUCAAGACUCCUACGGGAGGAAGCAGAAGGGAAUCUUCCGAAAUGGGCGAAAGCCUGACGGAGCAACGCCGCGUGAGGGAUGAAGGUCUUCGGAUCGUAAAACUCUGUGAUUAGGGAAGAACAUAUGUGUAAGUAACAGUGCACAUCGUGACGGUACCUAAUCAGAAAGCCACGGCUAACUACGUG
rnacentral:rRNA from 1 species